rnacentral:rRNA from 1 species
UGAGGAAUAUUGGUCAAUGGGCGGGAGCCUGAACCAGCCAAGCCGCGUGAGGGAGGAAGGCCCUAUGGGUCGUAAACCUCUUUUGUCAGGGAACAAAAGCGAGUAUGUAUACUAGUCUGAGUGUACCUGAAGAAAAAGCAUCGGCUAACUCCGUGCCAGCAGCCGCGGUAAUACGGAGGAUGCGAGCGUUAUCCGGAUUUAUUGGGUUUAAAGGGUGCGUAGGCGGCGGUGCAAGUCAGCGGUAAAAGCCCGGGGCUCAACCCCGGCGAGCCGUUGAAACUGCAGUGCUAGAGAAGGCGAGAGGUACGCGGAAUGCGCAGUGUAGCGGUGAAAUGCUUAGAUAUUGCGCAGAACUCCGAUUGCGAAGGCAGCGUACUGGCGCCUGACUGACGCUGAGGCACGAAAGCGUGGGGAUCGAACAGAUUAGAUACCC